AACAUUUUCAAUUAUCUUGAAUAGUAAUGAUGCUGUCGUAGUUUUAAGUGAAGUAAUGUCCUCCUUGUCAUCAGCUAAAUGAUCUCCUAGAACUUACUGGCAGACCGAUACCAAUAUCUAACACACUCCUUUCAGUAGAUCAUCCCAAAACAUUCACCCUCUUUUGACAAUAAAAAUGGCUAACCCACUACCACCACACACACAAAAAUAAGAUGCUUACAUAUUACUUUCAAUUUCAUCUUUAAGCAAAGCUAACAUUUUUACAUUUCUUCCAGACAGUAAAAUGUCAAUUGAUGACCAAAUUAUUGUCGGGUCCCAAACAUUCUAUAGUUUAAUAGACUCUAAAAGCAUCCUCUGUCCUUACCUACAACACCUACCCCAUGCUAUUUAAUAAUACUUUAAGUGCUUUGGAGAGGUGUAGGGUUCUUCCACUUUCACCAAGGAUAAAUCCCUUUAAUGCUCUGUUAAUGGGAAGUAGUAAAGGGUGUAGAUGACAACAAUCCUGGCCUUCCAUCACUAGUCUUAAUCAAUAUUUCAAGGAUUUCAACAGUUUUCUUACUUGUGUAACAGCCAUGAAUUGUUUUAUAGUUCCUUACUUCAACACAUUAGCACUGGGAAAGAGAAGGCUUGUCUGCUCUUGGGAAAAAAUCACAUAGAGAUUGCUGAAGUAUCUUUUAACAACAACAGAGAUGUCACAUUAAAUAUCACAUGUAAGGGAAGUUGUUGAAUAUGCCAAGGCAGAUACCUCUAGCUUUCAUAGCCUGGAAAAACAAAUCUGAUAAGAGAUUUUCCUGGCUGAUUUAUUCCAAUGUUAUAGAGUGAUGAGGACUGAUUUAGCUGAAAGAGCACAUUUCCAUUAAUAUUUUUCUAUAGUAGUAGUAGUACUUACAUGCUACUUCUUAGAUGAAUGACCUGCUGCCUGUGGCCAUUUAACUGGUAUGCCUUUCUGGAGAAGCACACAGUCUUGAGAGCACUUCUUGUAAUAUGAAAGAAACAUUCAAUUCCAAAACUCUUUUAGUUCAUGUAGUCACAGGUAGUUGCGCAGAUCUUGGUAGUAUCGUUUUGUUUGAAGCAUUGUUGGCACACAUCUUAAUUACUUCAGGUAGUGCAGACCAAACCUAAUUAUUAAACUGAACACAGCUUUCAGAAGACUUGGGAAGUAUAUUACAUAUUUGUACAUGCUUAUAUAUACUUACUGUACAAGAAAAAACUAUAACAAUGUUUUAUAUACAGUAUUGUAAUAGUCCAUCCAUCUUAAGUGAUGCUAGUAUCAUAAUAAAUAUAAUAGAGUCUCUCAUUUCCAAGCAUCCAAGAAUGACCUAUGUUGCAAGCAUGAAAGAAUAUGUGUUAAUUUCUAUCCAGUUCUGCGUGUUGUUACCAUGAAUAGAAUCAUCUAUGCAUAAUUUCAUGCAGAUAAUGACCACAUGAUUUCCUUGUACAGUGAAAUGUACCAGUUGUAGGAAAUGAAGAUGCAGAAAUUACUUGCCUACACUUUUGAAAGGUACCACGACUUGAUGAUUUGUUACAGAAAUGAUUCCGCGCAACACUGUGCAGAAGUUGGCAUAUAAAGAGUCAAUAUUAUAUGAGCUACUGAACAUGCCAUACAGAAACAGAAAAUGAACACAGCCAGACUGACUGGGUUAGCCUCUGCAAGGUAUUAUCACAUCACAUCCCCUGAGGCAAUUGUUUGAUAGUCAUUACAUUGUGACAAAUCAAACCAACCAUUUUGCUGAUAUGCAAAUGAAGGUUAUUUACUUAACAAAGGCUUUCCCUCGUCGGCACAUUCUGCUUUUCGAUAUAAACCUCGAGUGUGCUGCAACUGAGUGGGAGGUGAGCAAUUCAGUAGUUUACAAUGGGGAAGAUCGAGUUCUAUGAGGAGAAGAAUUUCCAAGGUCACUGUUAUGAGUGCAGCAGUGACUGCCCAGACCUACACUGCUACUUCGGCCGCUGCAACUCCAUCAGGGUGGAGAGUGGCUGCUGGGUCCUCUACGAGCGCCCACACUACAAGGGCUACCAGUACAUCCUGAGCCCAGGAGAGUACCCUGACCACCAGCAAUGGAUGGGUUUCAGCGACAGCAUCAAAUCUUGUCGGUGUAUAACAAAUGUGUAUGGAAAUAACUAUAAAAUAAGGAUUUAUGAGAGCCCAGAAUUUGGAGGACAGAUGGCGGAAUAUUGUGAGGACUGUCCCUCUGUCCAUGAAGCCUUCAAGUUCCUCCUGCGGUAGGGAGCUACUACGGUGCUCCUCUACCUGCUCCCAUGGGAAGCCAUUCAGGAAACCCAAAAUCUCUACUCUAUGGAAAGCAGCAAAUAAUCUGAAUUUGCCAAAUCAGAAUGAGGGAUCUCACUGUAG